CCUACGGGAGGCAGCAGUAGGGAAUCUUUCACAAUGGGCGAAAGCCUGAUGGAGCAACGCCGCGUGCAGGAUGAAGGCCUUCGGGUUGUAAACUGCUUUUAUAAGCGAGAAAUAUGAUGUUAACUUCUGAAUAAGGAUCGGCUAACUACGUGCCAGCAGCCGCGGUCAUACGUAGGAUCCGAGCAUUAUCCGUAGUGACUGGGUGUAACGAGUUGCGUAGGUGGCAUAGUAAGUAGCUAGUGAAAUCUGGUGUCUCAACCAUUCAGACUAUUAGCUAAACUGCUAAGCUCGAGACCGUUAGGGGUAACUGGAAUUUCUAGUGUAGGAGUGAAAUCCGUAGAUAUUAGAAGGAACACCAGUGGCGAAGGCGGCCUGCUGGACGGUGUACUGACGCUGAGGCUCGAAAGCGUGGGGAGCAAACAGGAUUAGAUACCCCUGUAGUC
rnacentral:rRNA from 1 species